ACGAACGCUGGCGGCGUGCUUAACACAUGCAAGUCGAACGGAAAGGCCCUGCUUUUGUGGGGUGCUCGCGUGGCGAACGGGUGAGUAACACGUGAGUAACCUGCCCUUGACUUUGGGAUAACUUCAGGAAACUGGGGCUAAUACCGGAUAUGAGCUCCUGCUGCAUGGUGGGGGUUGGAAAGUUUCGGCGGUUGGGGAUGGACUCGCGGCUUAUCAGCUUGUUGGUGGGGUAGUGGCUUACCAAGGCUUUGACGGGUAGCCGGCCUGAGAGGGUGACCGGCCACAUUGGGACUGAGAUACGGCCCAGACUCCUACGGGAGGCAGCAGUGGGGAAUAUUGCACAAUGGGCGGAAGCCUGAUGCAGCAACGCCGCGUGCGGGAUGACGGCCUUCGGGUUGUAAACCGCUUUCGCCUGUGACGAAGCGUGAGUGACGGUAAUGGGUAAAGAAGCACCGGCUAACUACGUG
rnacentral:rRNA from 1 species